rnacentral:rRNA from 1 species
UACGUAGGUGACCAGCGUUGUCCGGAUUUACUGGGCGUAAAGAGCGCGCAGGCGGUCGUUCAAGUCGAGUGUGAAAGCCCCCGGCUCAACUGGGGAGGGUCAUUCGAUACUGAUCGACUUGAAGGCAGGAGAGGGAAGUGGAAUUCCCGGUGUAGUGGUGAAAUGCGUAGAUAUCGGGAGGAACACCAGUGGCGAAAGCGGCGCACUGGACCACAACUGACGCUGAGGCGCGAAAGCUAGGGGAGCAAACAGG